rnacentral:lncRNA from 1 species
CAAUAGAUACUAUACCUUCUGGUGGAUCUACUAAGGUCCAUACUAGAUUGGAGUAUAUUGAGUCAAUUUCUGAUUUCAUGACUUCCAACCAUUUUUCGGAAUCGAUGUCUAACAUUAUCUAAUUGUAGGUUCUGGGAUCAUCUCCAUAUUUUCUAUUUUCUAUAAAGAACAUUUCUUUUACUUCCUCUAAAAUAAUAUUUAAGUACCUUUUAAGAGGAUGAGAAAUCCUACUUGAUCUUCGAGGUGGAGGAGCUACGUGUAUUGGCUUAGUUUGAAUAGGUUCAAUGGGUUCCAUGAUUCGUUACUCUUCAAAGAUUCUCUUCGAGCUCAAUUUGCCUUCCACUAUUUCUAUCUUGGAUAAAUUAUUGUUUCAGAAAGACAGCAUAUCGACUCACAAUCACAUUAUAAUCCUCUAAAAGUAAAAGUAAUAUCCUGAAGAUUCUUUUAGAUAUCCUAUGAAACAAGCUCUCAUAGACCUUGCCUCUAACUUGUCUGUCUGUUAUUAUUUGACAUGGGACUGGACAUCCUCAAAUCCUAAGUUGAUCGAGAUUUAAUUUCUUAUCAUGCCAUAUUUCAUAUAGUAUGGUAGAAACAGAUUUAGAGAGAAUCCUAUUCACUAAAUAACUUGUGGUAAGCAAAGCAUAUUUCCAUAAAAAUAA